rnacentral:rRNA from 1 species
GCCUACAAGCAUGCCUUGGGGCAAACUACUUUAAACACUUCUGACUUUAGAAGCUAAGCAGGGUUGGACCUGGUGAAUACUUGGAUGAGUUCCCAUGUGGGAAUACCUAGCUUUGUGAUGA